CCUCCUCCUCCUCCUCCCCAGCCUCUCCCUUACCCCAACGCAUCGCCGCGGCUCAGGGGCUCUUCCCCGGCCUCGCCCUAUCUCGGCAUCCUGCACCACGAUCGCUUCCUUGGGCGGCGGCGAUCCGCCGGCCGGAAAUGGGGUCGGGAUGGUACCGAGGUGAAGCUCGAUGAUUUCGAGAGGAUGGUCGGCUGAGGGCUACGGGGUUGCCGAUGGCAAGAACAAGACGAAGGACGCGCGGCCGAUCGUUGUGAUCGAUAACUAUGAUAGCUUUACCUCUAGUCCAUGCCAGGUAAUGUCCUGUAACCAGAAAGACGAGGGAUGGAUCGACCGAUGUGGUGUCCUGUAACUAUGACUGCGCUUAUUAUGGGUUGAUCUCCUUUAUGAAGACAUAUCGGUAGUUCCUUCAAAAAGAAAUCCCCCUUUUAUUUUUUUGGCUA